GACGAACGCUGGCGGCGUGCUUAACACAUGCAAGUCGAACGAAGAGCGAUGGAAGCUUGCUUCUAUCAAUCUUAGUGGCGAACGGGUGAGUAACGCGUAAUCAACCUGCCCUUCAGAGGGGGACAACAGUUGGAAACGACUGCUAAUACCGCAUACGAUCUAAUCUCGGCAUCGAGGAUAGAUGAAAGGUGGCCUCUACAUGUAAGCUAUCACUGAAGGAGGGGAUUGCGUCUGAUUAGCUAGUUGGAGGGGUAACGGCCCACCAAGGCGAUGAUCAGUAGCCGGUCUGAGAGGAUGAACGGCCACAUUGGGACUGAGACACGGCCCAGACUCCUACGGGAGGCAGCAGUGGGGAAUCUUCCGCAAUGGACGAAAGUCUGACGGAGCAACGCCGCGUGAGCGAUGACGGCCUUCGGGUUGUAAAGCUCUGUUAAUCGGGACGAAAGGCCUUCUUGCGAAUAGUGAGAAGGAUUGACGGUACCGGAAUAGAAAGCCACGGCCAACUACGUG
rnacentral:rRNA from 1 species